rnacentral:sRNA from 1 species
UAAUAGUUUUAAACAAAAAAUACUUUAGAUAUUUAACGAUUCCCGCGAAUAGUGAAGUUAAUAAAGGCCCACGCAUAUUUAUACGGCGAUAAAGGGUGAUUUUUUUCGCCCGCCACCAUAAUAGCUAAAUUUGCCGGCCAUAGCCCCGAACUGCGCCACCCAAGAUAAACAAGUUUUUCUGCAAAUGUUUUAAAUCGAAUUUUUCGAUAACAAGGUAUAAUAUUUUGCUUUCCAACAACCGUCGAAUUGGUAAAUUGGCUAUCAAAUUCAAAUUAAUAUCGAUAAACUUUUUGACGGCCUUUAAAAAAACAGAUUUAAUAGUUAAAAGACGUGAGACAAAUAAAAGGUAAAUAUAAGAAUCAAAUAUUGCGUGAAAAAAAACAAAAUAAAAGUUCGUUUGUAAUAUAUAAUUGAUAAUAUUAAAAGGUUAAGAACCGUUUUUUAAAGACCAGGUUAAAUAUACGGAAUAUAUAUAUGUAAAACCAUUUGAACUUAACCCGGGCGUUAUUUUAUCACAUCUUUGCCCGACGACUUAGCAAAUAGGCCAAUAAAAUAAAACAUCUUGCAGUAUUUACACUUGGAAAAUACCUCGUCGGUCCCAAUUAUAAGGUAUUGUUACACGUUUGUAAGAUAUUAUUUUAAUACGGUUUCUGGGCUUUUAAAAUCAAAUAUUUGGUUAGGACACGGGUAAUUUAACAUUUCCCAAAAUAUAUUAUUACGAAAUUUAAAAAGUGUGUUCCGUAUAAAAGCAACUUUUAAUAUAUUUAUUAUGGGUCUGUUUUAGAGGGUCUGGGCAAAAACCUAUUCAGUUAAAUAUAUUUUUUAAUUUUGGAAAUACUUUUAAAGCUUUUUGGAUUUAUUUAAAAGGUUGCGAGUUUUCAAAUGGAUUUUAAGUAUAAAUAUAUAAAUAUUCUAAUUUAGGGAGACUUUUAUAACUGGUUAAUUAUUAUAUUAAAGUAGUAAGAGACGCGUUUAAAAUAUUAAUUUUAUAAAUACUUUGCAUAUAAUACCCCACGUAGCCCAUAAAUAAUUUACCGGGUCCCAAUUACGGGUUUAAGUAAAAAAGGGUUUAGAAGCUCGAAACCAAAUAAAAUAAUAAAAUAAGUAAUAAUAUACCACACUUACUCGCAAUAACGCUUUCUUAAUUAAUUCAUAUAUAAAAAACCUAUUAAUAAUUAAAUUUUAAUAUAAUUUAAAAUUAAAAGAAAUAAAUUUCGAGAAGUAAAUAUAUAAGAAGGUUUAUUAAAAUACUUGUAAAAUAAUUUAAAAAAUUAACUUGGCGAUAUAUUUAUUUUAAAAUACAAAGUAUAAAAGGUAUUAAAUAAAAAGUAUAUAGUAUUAUUUCUUUGUUAAGUUAAGGGACUAAUAAAAUUUUAAACUAAGAAUAAAUAUUACAUUAAAAGCGAGCCGGCUUUAAUUUAUUUUGGUAUAUAUUAAAAUUGUUAAUUAAAUAUUUAAUACGCUGCUGUUUACCGGUAAAAUUUAAUCCGCUAUAAUUUUUUGAAACUAUUAAAUCACCACUUAUUACAAUCCUGCAAAAGUAUUAUUUAUCUUUUACGUUGGUUUUUAAUAAAUAUUAAUAAAACAAAUCUCGGUUGUUAUUAUCUUAGGUAGAGGCUUAUAAGCUAUUAACACUUUUGUAAAUAUAAAUAUUAACCCAAUAUAUCCCGCCACCGCAAUUAUAAAUAUAAAGUAUUUACAGCGAGAAAAGGCAUCCCGUAUUAUAAACCCUACCGUAAAAACAGAAUUGCCUCCAACUUUACCGUAAAAAUAAGAGAAUAUGGCGCGGGUUUCCACGUUAUUAUUACAAACUACACACCGGGGUUGGCCGCAGGUUUUCCCAACCGAAGAUGUUUUUUUAUAUAUUAUAUCUCCGAAAAAACAUUUAAUUAUCGCCACGGGCUCGAUAAUGUGGAAGUGUUUGGGGUUUUUAAUUGCGUAUACAAAUCCAUUAAAUAAUAUUUACUGGCAGGUCCACACAGCGAUAAUUUGCACUGGGCACUUGGUGGAAUUUCGGCCAAAUUAAAGACGAGGCAUAGUAGUAAACAAACGCGCCAUGCCAAAAAAAAAAAAAAGGAAAAAAAAACAAUAAGGUAGCGGUAAAAGGGGUUACGAAAUUAAAUUUAACGAACAAAAUUAUAUAUCGCCGGCCGGUAACCGUUUGUUUACCGUAUGUAAUACGUAUAAAUUUGGAAAAAACGCGUUUUUGGAAAUUGGGAAUAAUUAUAUAUAACGACCGGCCGUUAUUAGGCAAAAAGCGGUAGCAAUUAUUAUUACCGUUUCGCAGCAAAAUUCGGGUUACAAUUCCAAUACAAAAUGAGACAAAUUUGGGUGGAAUUGGUUGGGGAUAUAUCGCAAACCCUGUUUCCGCAAUAAUAUCACUGGGUUGGGUACGGAGUGGAUAUUAAUAAGUGCCCGAUAGUCGGAUAUAAGUGCUCGCUAGUCUAGCCCUUUAAUACUGGGGCCGAAUGGGAAAAUAAUAUUGGUUGCAACACUAUUUAUAAAUAAUACCGAAUAAAAGGAAACUUAUAUAUGAAGUAAGUUUGGUGGGGAAGGCCGAAAAUUUAACGCAUAAAUGAAAACAAAAGAACCGAAGGGUCGGCCGACUUGGAUAAUUAAUAUAGAAUUACAAGGUAAAAGCUUAUCUAAUUGAGGAUAAACAAGUUCUGCAUAAAGAGGAUUGCGAAAGCCCGCAUACCUACGUGGUUAAUUUUUCGAUUUCUUCUCUGGGACGGCUUGAGCUGUCUUGAACAGAAACCUCAAGUCGAAUAAACAUGCGGCUACAAUUUAAUAAUUGUAGUUAAGCUGUAAGAUCGUGACAUAUAUUGUUAAUCAUAAAACACAGUUAUAUCUUGCGUAAUUGCGUUGUAUGUUAGUAUCACUGUUCGACUGACAGGGAUUGAAUGGUAAAUUAUUCUAUUGACAAUGGCGGCCACUCCGAUCUUUAAUUGCCCGCACUUUGGUAACUUAGUUACUAAUACUACCUAUGUAUUAAUAACACAGGCCGAGUCGCACGCUAUUCAAUGCACUAGUUUGCCAUAGAGUUCCACUACAGCAUUAAUUAUGCUAGCUCAUAAGCUAUUUUAAGUA